CCUGGCUCACGAUGAACGCUAGCUACAGGCUUAACACAUGCAAGUCGAGGGGCAGCAUGGUCUUAGCUUGCUAAGGCCGAUGGCGACCGGCGCACGGGUGAGUAACACGUAUCCAACCUGCCGUCUACUCUUGGACAGCCUUCUGAAAGGAAGAUUAAUACAAGAUGGCAUCAUGAGUCCGCAUGUUCACAUGAUUAAAGGUAUUCCGGUAGACGAUGGGGAUGCGCUCCAUUAGAUAGUAGGCGGGGUAACGGCCCACCUAGUCUUCGAUGGAUAGGGGUUCUGAGAGGAAGGUCCCCCACAUUGGAACUGAGACACGGUCCAAACUCCUACGGGAGGCAGCAGUGAGGAAUAUUGGUCAAUGGGCGAGAGCCUGAACCAGCCAAGUAGCGUGAAGGAUGACUGCCCUAUGGGUUGUAAACUUCUUUUAUAAAGGAAUAAAGUCGGGUAUGGAUACCCGUUUGCAUGUACUUUAUGAAUAAGGAUCGGCUAACUCCGUGCCAGCAGCCGCGGUAAUACGGAGGAUCCGAGCGUUAUCCGGAUUUAUUGGGUUUAAAGGGAGCGUAGAUGGAUGUUUAAGUCAGUUGUGAAAGUUUGCGGCUCAACCGUAAAAUUGCAGUUGAUACUGGAUAUCUUGAGUGCAGUUGAGGCAGGCGGAAUUCGUGGUGUAGCGGUGAAAUGCUUAGAUAUCACGAAGAACUCCGAUUGCGAAGGCAGCCUGCUAAGCUGCAACUGACAUUGAGGCUCGAAAGUGUGGGUAUCAAACAGGAUUAGAUACCCUGGUAGUCCACACGGUAAACGAUGAAUACUCGCUGUUUGCGAUAUACUGCAAGCGGCCAAGCGAAAGCGUUAAGUAUUCCACCUGGGGAGUACGCCGGCAACGGUGAAACUCAAAGGAAUUGACGGGGGCCCGCACAAGCGGAGGAACAUGUGGUUUAAUUCGAUGAUACGCGAGGAACCUUACCCGGGCUUAAAUUGCAGAUGAAUUACGGUGAAAGCCGUAAGCCGCAAGGCAUCUGUGAAGGUGCUGCAUGGUUGUCGUCAGCUCGUGCCGUGAGGUGUCGGCUUAAGUGCCAUAACGAGCGCAACCCUUGUCGUCAGUUACUAACAGGUUCCGCUGAGGACUCUGACAAGACUGCCAUCGUAAGAUGUGAGGAAGGUGGGGAUGACGUCAAAUCAGCACGGCCCUUACGUCCGGGGCUACACACGUGUUACAAUGGGGGGUACAGAGGGCCGCUACCACGCGAGUGGAUGCCAAUCCCCAAAACCUCUCUCAGUUCGGACUGGAGUCUGCAACCCGACUCCACGAAGCUGGAUUCGCUAGUAAUCGCGCAUCAGCCACGGCGCGGUGAAUACGUUCCCGGGCCUUGUACACACCGCCC
rnacentral:rRNA from 1 species